rnacentral:rRNA from 1 species
UACGUAGGGGGCAAGCGUUGUCCGGAAUCAUUGGGCGUAAAGGGUGCGUAGGCGGCGCGGUAAGUCGGGUGUGAAAUCUCGGAGCUUAACUCCGAAACUGCAUUCGAUACUGCCGUGCUUGAGGACUGGAGAGGAGACUGGAAUUUACGGUGUAGCAGUGAAAUGCGUAGAGAUCGUAAGGAAGACCAGUGGCGAAGGCGGGUCUCUGGACAGUUCCUGACACUGAGGCACGAAGGCCAGGGGAGCAAACGGG